CUGCCUAUUAGUGGGGGAAACAUUCCGAAAGGAAUGCUAAUACCGCAUACGUCCUACGGGAGAAAGCAGGGGACCUUCGGGCCUUGCGCUAAUAGAUGAGCCUAAGUCGGAUUAGCUAGUUGGUGGGGUAAAGGCCUACCAAGGCGACGAUCUGUAGCGGGUCUGAGAGGAUGAUCCGCCACACUGGGACUGAGACACGGCCCAGACUCCUACGGGAGGCAGCAGUGGGGAAUAUUGGACAAUGGGGGGAACCCUGAUCCAGCCAUGCCGCGUGUGUGAAGAAGGCCUUAUGGUUGUAAAGCACUUUAAGCGAGGAGGAGGCUACUAGUAUUAAUACUACUGGAUAGUGGACGUUACUCGCAGAAUAAGCACCGGCUAACUCUGUGCCAGCAGCCGCGGUAAUACAGAGGGUGCGAGCGUUAAUCGGAUUUACUGGGCGUAAAGCGUGCGUAGGCGGCCAUUUAAGUCAAAUGUGAAAUCCCCGAGCUUAACUUGGGAAUUGCAUUCGAUACUGGAUGGCUAGAGUAUGGGAGAGGAUGGUAGAAUUCCAGGUGUAGCGGUGAAAUGCGUAGAGAUCUGGAGGAAUACCGAUGGCGAAGGCAGCCAUCUGGCCUAAUACUGACGCUGAGGUACGAAAGCAUGGGGAGCAAACAGGAUUAGAUACCCUGGUAGUCCAUGCCGUAAACGAUGUCUACUAGCCGUUGGGGCCUUUGAGCUUUAGUGCGCAGCUAACGCGAUAAGUAGACCGCCUGGGGAGUACGGUCGCAAGG
rnacentral:rRNA from 1 species